UAAUAAAGAACUCUUCAAAGCACUGCUCCUGAACAGUCACAACCUCACAGAGCUGCACAACUGCCCCACUCAAGAUCAGUGUUGAAGCUGGAACCUCAUCUUGUGUACAGCAAAGGCAGAGCUGAAAAUUCACUGUUUGUCUUGUAUUGUGUGUGGCAAAACCUGGAAUAACAUAUGGGAGCCCUCCAGGAAUUCCUGACACUUUACGCCCAAGUCUCCUCAUGCUAACCGGAUUGCAAUAUGACAGUUUAGUCAACAUAAACACCUGGACUCACCAAGCACACUUUGGUUCUCAGUGUUUUGUAAAAAUUGUUUUUGCUAUUCUUCAGUAAAUACUUGAAUAUGUUUUGAACUUAUUCUACUUUUGAUGUUUAAGUUCAGAAAGUUGUUAUUAUAAUCAUAAUUUGCAUUGGUCAUGAA